CGGUAAAAUCAGACCUGAACGCGUAACAACACUUCAGCACCAGCAGAAAGUUGACUUUUAUUGAUCUUACCUGGCUUGAACACAUGCAGGAAUCCAGAGCACUCAUGUUGGGUGGGUCAGUCAGACAGAGAGGGUUUCUUGGGCUGUCUCAGUGCUCUGGGAAAGGAGCGCGCUUUGGAUGCACAAACGCUCAUCCGUGCCUCGGCACACUCACUCAAACUCACUGGAUAUUUUGCUGAGUUACCCAGGCAACUCAAUUCUUUUUGUCCUGCCCAUUCAGGAUUCCAGGAAAGUAUUUGACUCCCACUGGUAGGACUUGGAGAGCAUUCCCAGGGAAAAGCCAAGGACGGCAGAAUGAAGCCUUGGAGAGGAGGAGAGCGGAGUCAGUGAAACAUUUCAUCGGGGUCAGCAGACAAAAAGGAAUCAACAACGAGCUGCAUAAAUAAUUGAAGUGAAAACUAUAUAUGUCUGCUUCUCGAAGGUGUUACAAACCCAGGCAUUCCAAGAGGGUUGGAGGGGCUGUAACCAAGCAACAGGGACUGAAAUUUGGUUCUCUCUCCUGGAAAAACAAUGGGCUCGCAAGUCAUAAUGACAAUGUUGGGGACUGAAGAGUGAGCCUUUCCUUGAUUUAAUAAUCUUUGGAUGAAGCUUUAAGAAAAGAUGUUUGUGGAAUGAAGGAAGCAUUUUUAUUUGGUUCAGGAGAGGCCUAUUGCAGCAUCAAGCCUGUCUUUUCUAGCAGAAUGAAGGUCAACAAUUUCUGGGAGAAUUAAACUUUUUGUGACACUGAGGAAAGACCACAAAUAAGUAACAUUUCAAGAUUUUCUUUCUCAAAACUUUAUUUCCAAAAGAAAUCAUGGACAUAACUCACUGUCUCUUCAUUUCCCUGGAUGAAAGAGAGAAUAUAACUGUAUCCCAAGUGGAGCUGGUGGCACAUGACACUCCUGAUUGAUGAUUUCUCCCUGUAUUCACCUCCCUGAGAUGAGAAUUGAUUACCUGAAAUAUAUUGAAAAAAGUGGUUUAUUUUAUCCAUCAAACCCCUGCCUUCCUGGAAAUCAGGUCCUGCAAAUGUGGGAAUACUUGGGAGUCACCAGAGCACUUCUUGAUUAAAGUGCCUUUGCCAGGUUGUCAUAAAUGAGAUGUUUGAGACAAAUAGACAUCAUCUCUUUAAGUGUGGGAUGGGAAAAUAAUUGUAUUGCUGGGCCAAGGUGGUAAAAAAGUACCCAGCUCUACACGAGCUUAGAAAGGAGGGAGAGAACAGGGAA
rnacentral:lncRNA from 1 species